GGUGCUGUCUCUCACACUCACACUCACGAGGAUGUUCCAGUGGUGCGUCAGGCAAAGCGCCGAAGUGGAGAAUAUGAUGAUUUCAGUAGAAAGGGGGAUUGAGUAUACAGACCUUGAGAAAGAAGCACCCUGGGAACCUGGGUAUCGUCCACCGCGCAUCCUGGCCCCAUGGAGGAGAGAUUGACUUUUAUCAUAUUAACUUCAGGUACAGCUUGGAUAGGCCUCUGGUAUUGAAGAACCUGAGAGUACCCACUGCCCCAAGAGAAAAGCUUGGCAUUGUAGGAAGAACAGGGGCUGGAAAAAGUUCCCUCAUCGCUGCCCUUUUUAGACUGUCAGAACCUGAAGGUGGUGUUUGGAUUGAUGGAAUCAGGAUAAGCGAUAUUGGACUUCAUGAUUUAAGGAAGAAAAUGUCAGUUGCACUUCAGGAACCUGUUUUUAUUCACUGGAACAAUGAGGAAAAAUCUGGAUCCCUAUAAUGAGUAUUUGGAGGAGGAACUGUGGAAUGUCUUA